rnacentral:rRNA from 1 species
UAACGGCGAGUGAAGCGGCAACAGCUCAAAUUUGAAAUCUGGCCCCUUUGGGGUCCGAGUUGUAAUUUGUAGAGGAUGUUUCGGGUACCGCCCCGGUCUAAAUUUCUUGGAACAGAAUGUCAGAGAGGGUGAGAAUCCCGUCUUGGACCGGUGGUAGGGCCCAUGUGAAACUCCUUCGACGAGUCGAGUUGUUUGGGAAUGCAGCUCAAAAUGGGUGGUAUAUUUCAUCUAAAGCUAAAUAUUGGCCAGAGACCGAUAGCGCACAAGUAGAGUGAUCGAAAGAUGAAAAGAACUUUGAAAAGAGAGUUAAACAGUAUGUGAAAUUGUUGAAAGGGAAGCGCUUGCAACCAGACUUGAGCGCGGCGGUUCCCCCUUCCUUUUGGUUGGGUUACUCCGUCGUGUCCAGGCCAACAUCGGUUCUGGGGGUCGGUUAAAGGCCUGGGGAAUGUAUCUACGUCUUCGGGCGUAGACUUAUAGCCCCGGGUGUCAUGCGACCUCCCGGGACCGAGGAACGCGCUUCGGCUCGGAUGUUGGCGUAAUGGUUGUAAGCGACCCGUCUUGAAACACGGACCAAGGAGUCUAACAUCUAUGCGAGUGUUUGGGUGUCAAACCCGGAACGCGGAAUGAAAGUGAACGGAGGUAGGAAGCUUCGGCUGCACUAUCGACCGAUCCUGAUGUCUUCGGAUGGAUUUGAGUAAGAGCAUAGCUGUUGG